rnacentral:lncRNA from 11 species
GGAGAAUUCUUGGCAUUUUGGCUGAUCACAUGAAUCAGUGCUUACAUGUGGUGGCUUUCACUGAUUUUCAAUGGGUUAUAAAAAUAAUAUAAUAUAGGACUGCUGCCAAUGCUAGUAGUAUAAUUCAUUAAAUCAGAGCGUGUUUGGCUUUGUUCCCAGAUAGGGCCUCUUGGAGAAACGUUGGCGUGGAAGAAAGAUUGAAUAGAGGCUCUGUUUGAUGAGUUCCAGCUGGCCUACUGCAGGGCUCUGCUUGAGAACACAGUCCUCAAAUCACUCACUCCAGAGUGAUCACAUAGAUGACAUAGUGGGACUGCAAUGUACAAGGAAUCAUCAGAGAGGCUACUUUACUUGCCAUACGCUGCUUGUUCUCCCUUUUCAGCAAGGAGCCCAUUACACGACACAUGUACUUCCAGCUGAGCACUGUAGGAGCAAUGGGGGGAAGCCUGGUGGCGAUGCUUCCCCCUGUCAGAUGGGGGUCAAGGAUUAAGAAGUGGAAUGGAGGCAUUUCUCUGACUGCAGACAUAGUCUCUCCAUCUGGAGAAAAUAUUUUAGUUCCCCUCUAUCAAGAGAAAGGCUCAUGGUGGAAAAUUACAGUGGGCAGUACUUAUGGCGGAAGUAGCUGAUGGAUGUUUCAGUGGCGGAACACAGCUGGCUCUGAAUGCACUGAAUCCAAAGUCUAGGAGGAUCCUGAAGAAAAUUGCACCCUAACAGCUAGAGCUGGAACAAUGAAAAUGAGUCUUGUUAGAAUAUGUGAUUGCUUCCAUUAAAAAAAAAUCUAUGCUUGAAUAAACAAUAUCUAUGCAUGA